rnacentral:lncRNA from 9 species
AUGAGUCCUGGGGGCUGGCUUUAUACCGAUGGCCAGGGGGGCCCCCAGACAGGGGACCAGGGGGUGGAGGAGGGCUUUCAGAUACUAACUUCUAAAGGUUCCCUAUCCCAUGGAGCACCCCCUGUGGCACUGGCCAAGAGCAGUGAAGCAGCAGAGCCCAGAGUUAGGAGAGAAGUUCAUCUCAUGAGAACCGGGAGAUGGCAGCUGUUCUCCCGAGAGAAAAGGAGCUGCAGGUGGGUUUGGGGUCCACAACCCCCUCCUCGCUCUUUCAAGCUGCCCAAGUUUCCCAGACAGAAGCAGAAGCUCUGCGCAGGUGGAAAGUGCCUCCUUCCGGGGGCCGAGGGCUCCCGAGGCCACCACGCCGCCUUCCUGCGGCACAUCCAUCCUGUUGUUGCCAGAGUCAGAGAACGGCUCCCGAGGCAGAAUCUUGAAUAUUCAUCUGAUUUACGGCCGGCUGCCGACAGCUUUAUGAAUCCGCCCACCAAUACCUGCGGCCGGUCAUCAAUCUUCCCCCGAGAUUGUGCUUCUGCCAGUAACUCAUGAAUUAAAGAGGCCCCCGGCGGCCCCCACGCCUCCCUCCCCUCGCACGGCGCGUCGUGAUGGGAGAAGGACCUGACCAGAAGUCAAAACACUGCCGCCCAGGCUCUGGCGACCUUGGAUGACUCUCUCAGCUGGUCUGCAGCCAGGAAGAGAAACUAGGUGGUCCUUCAGAUCUGUCCCUUUCCAGCUCCCGGCCUCAGUUUCCCUGCCUGGAGGGACAGGGUGGAGGCUCGGCCUCACCCCCAUCUGCUCACCUGGGAGGGGGGCUGUGGCAGGUGGGCGUGUCAGCCGUGGGAAAGCUUGCUAUCCUUUGACUCCAAGAUGCUCACAGAUCCAGAGAGGUGGUGGUACCCACAAACCAACACCCCCCAAGUUUCUUAUAAACAAAGCGGGAAUCAAGGCAGCGUUUCCCAGCAGGGCUGGGGGCGGGGGGGUCUAGCUGGCAUGCUCGGUUCCUGUUCCUAGGGGGUAGGUGUUAGGAUUUUUAUCCAGGAAGGAGCUGAUGUCCCAGGCUUAGCUCUGGGUUUAG